rnacentral:rRNA from 1 species
UACGGAGGGUGCGAGCGUUGUCCGGAAUCAUUGGGCGUAAAGGGUGCGUAGGUGGCGCUGUAAGUCAGGUGUGAAAUUUCGGAGCUCAACUCCGAAACUGCAUUUGAUACUGCGGUGCUUGAGGACUGGAGAGGAGACUGGAAUUCACGGUGUAGCGGUGAAAUGCGUAGAGAUCAGGAAGAACACCGGUGGCGAAAGCGCUCUGCUGGACCUAAACUGACACUGAGGGACGAAAGCUAGGGGAGCGAAUGGG